GUCAGAUUCAACAUUAUGCAAGAUUAUUGUAUAGGAGCAAUUGCCAAUGAUUUGAAAUAAAAACCAUGGAAGAAAAGUCAACAUUACUGUUCUAUUAAGCUGUUUCUCCCCCCUAGGAGUUAAGAAAAGACCUCUCACUAUUCUAGCAGUAUAGCAUAUUUGUUCAAUUCCAGAAAGAUGGGAACUUAGUCUAAAAAUGAUUCUUUGAGCAACUCAUAUUUUUCUGGAACUCUAUGUAAAAGCAAAUUAAUAUAAAUAUAUAUGUUUUGAGAUACUGGGACAUCACACUUUUUUUUAAUCUUUCACUUGAAUUUCUUCCCAAAUAGAGAAUAUUUUUAUUCUUUGAUUCUUCUAGCCUAUCUGUAUUUUAUGAUCAGAUUUUGCUAAAACAGACCUGAAGAUGCACCUGGAUAAUUAGGUAAUUGGGUAUAAUUUGGAAAGUCAGUGCUUAUAUAAACCAUGCUUAAUAAUGGACUAUUUUGAUUCUGUCUUGACCCUAGAACGUAAGUCUCAGGAAGUUAUUAUCUAUGAUGAUGUAGACCUGAGUGAAAAAGAGUCAAAAGAUGAAGAUAAACUGAAAAUGUGGAAGCCCAAGUU
rnacentral:sRNA from 1 species